rnacentral:rRNA from 1 species
AUUGAAACUUCGGUCGAUUUAAUUUAAUUCUAGUGGCGGACGGGUGAGUAACGCGUGGGUAACCUGCCUUAUACAGGGGGAUAACAGUCAGAAAUGGCUGCUAAUACCGCAUAAGCGCACAGAGCUGCAUGGCUCAGUGUGAAAAACUCCGGUGGUAUAAGAUGGACCCGCGUUGGAUUAGCUGGUUGGUGGGGUAACGGCCCACCAAGGCGACGAUCCAUAGCCGGCCUGAGAGGGUGAACGGCCACAUUGGGACUGAGACACGGCCCAGACUCCUACGGGAGGCAGCAGUGGGGAAUAUUGCACAAUGGGGGAAACCCUGAUGCAGCGACGCCGCGUGAAGGAAGAAGUAUCUCGGUAUGUAAACUUCUAUCAGCAGGGAAGAUAGUGACGGUACCUGACUAAGAAGCCCCGGCUAACUACGUGCCAGCAGCCGCGGUAAUACGUAGGGGGCAAGCGUUAUCCGGAUUUACUGGGUGUAAAGGGAGCGUAGACGGUGUGGCAAGUCUGAUGUGAAAGGCAUGGGCUCAACCUGUGGACUGCAUUGGAAACUGUCAUACUUGAGUGCCGGAGGGGUAAGCGGAAUUCCUAGUGUAGCGGUGAAAUGCGUAGAUAUUAGGAGGAACACCAGUGGCG